rnacentral:tRNA from 1 species
GAUUUCGUAGCUCAGUUGGUAGAGCAAUACACUUUUAAUGUAUGGGCCCUGGGUUCGAGUCCCAGCGGAAUCACGA